AAAACUCUACCACCUUUUCAUUCUCUCGACUUUUCUUCUCUCUCGGUCUCUCUUCUCUUCUCCUGUUUCUCCAGACUUUCCGUCUCCAUCUCUCUUAUCUUCUUACACAACUAUAAGUUUUAGACAAUGCCUGAAAAUCAGGAAACCUUCCUAACCUCUAGUGUUGGGAAACCUCCCUAACCUCUAGGGUUGCCGGUUCAAAGAGAAGUGAUCCUAGAUGAAAAUAUAUAGAUAUAGUUAACAAAGAUACAAACUCUACUCGCUGUAUUUUUUUUUCCUUCACAAAAUUGAUUAAUGGAGGAAUAAUAAGAGGCUAAGACCAUCUAACGGAAGGAAGUGUAAUGUUCAAGCUUGCACCAAAUGUUCAUACCAAAUAACUUUAAAGAUUAUGUUGAAGUUAGAGAAGAAAACCAGAGAUUUAAUAAUGUUUUAUAGUUCUGUUUUAUAAUGUCUUUUAUAAAUGAAAUAUUUUGAGGUGUACUUAAGACCUGCAACAUCUAUUUUAUUUACUUUAUAUA